rnacentral:rRNA from 1 species
CGUCUAUAUACGUAUAGCAUAUCAAUAAGCGGAGGAAAAGAAACUAACUAGGAUUCCCUCAGUAACGGCGAGUGAAGCGGGAAGAGCUCAAAUUUGAAAUCUUCAAGGUUUUACCUUGACGAAUUGUAGUUUAAAGAAGUGUUUUCUGUUGGAGUUUUGGUAAAAGUUCUUUGGAAUAGGACAUCAUAGAGGGUGAGAAUCCCGUAUUUGACCAUUAUUUCCAACUUUGUGAUACACUUUCAAAGAGUCGGAUUGUUUGGGAAUGCAGUCCAAAAUGGGUGGUAAAUUUCAUCUAAAGCUAAAUACUGGCGAGAGACCGAUAGCGAACAAGUACCGUGAGGGAAAGAUGAAAAGAACUUUGAAAAGAGAGUUAAACAGUACGUGAAAUUGUCAAAAGGGAAGCGUUUGACACCAGUGUUGUUUUCUCGAAAAUCAAUUAAAAAUGGCGGGAUUUUGUGUUGUAUUGACUUUAUCAGCUUUCUGCACUUUUUUCUUGUCUUUUUUAAUGCACUUUUCGUUUAACAAGUCAACAUCAAUUUCUUUUGUUGUAAAAGGGUCAUUGGAAGGUGGCUUUCUUUUCGGAGAAAGUGUUUAUAGCCUUUGACUUCUGCAAUCGGAGAGAUUGAGGUCUGCAGCGUAGAUCCUUCGGGGUUAGAUAGCAUUUGUGCUAAGUUAUAGCCUUUCAUAGACAACUUGUUGACUAUGAUCAGUCAUGUAGCUUACUCGCUUAUGCUAUUUUACCUACGCUUAGGAUGUUGACGAUCAGGCUGAGCGCG